CAUUUUGUUCUUUAAUUGAGAUGUCUGAUUAGUAAAAAUAAUGUUAAAAUUUAUCUUUAGGAAUAAAUGCAACACAUUAAUUGAGAAUAGUAAGCAAAUUUUCAACCUCAGCAAAAACUUCCAAAUCAACAAAACAGUUUACAGAUUGCAAGAACAGAGCCUACUUAUGUGCAAGUGAAGUAGCCAAUGUGAAGCUAAUUCAUCUUUAUUGCAAGAAUGUCUCAAAUAGCAUGGAGAACUCUUGAAGAACAAAAGUAUCACUGGACGGGGUGAAGGAGCCUGACUGGAAGAGAUUCAGCGCGUAAGAUUUCUGAAACAUUUGCUGGAUCAGCUGUAAGAGGGGAGUGGUCGACACCUCCCAGGCCAUCUUCCUGACCCUGCGUGACCCACUGGCACAGGAGAA